rnacentral:rRNA from 1 species
UGGAUCCAGACUUUGAUUCUGGCUCAGGAUGAACGCUAGCUACAGGCUUAACACAUGCAAGUCGAGGGGAAACGAUAGAGAAAGCUUGCUUUUUCUAGGCGUCGACCGGCGCACGGGUGAGUAACGCGUAUCCAACCUGCCCACCACUUGGGGAUAACCUUGCGAAAGUAAGACUAAUACCCAAUGAUAUCUCUGGAAGACAUCUGAAGGAGAUUAAAGAUUUAUCGGUGAUGGAUGGGGAUGCGUCUGAUUAGCUUGUUGGCGGGGUAAUGGCCCACCAAGGCGACGAUCAGUAGGGGUUCUGAGAGGAAGGUCCCCCACAUUGGAACUGAGACACGGUCCAAACUCCUACGGGAGGCAGCAGUGAGGAAUAUUGGUCAAUGGGCGGGAGCCUGAACCAGCCAAGUAGCGUGCAGGAUGACGGCCCUAUGGGUUGUAAACUGCUUUUAUAAGGGAAUAAAGUGAGCCUCGUGAGGCUUUUUGCAUGUACCUUAUGAAUA